rnacentral:rRNA from 1 species
AGUGAACGCUGGCGGUAGGCCUAACACAUGCAAGUCGAACGGCCGCACAGUAAGAGCUUGCUCUUACGGGUGGCGAGUGGCGGACGGGUGAGGCAUACAUCGGAAUCUACUUUUUCGUGGGGGAUAACGUAGGGAAACUUACGCUAAUACCGCAUACGACCUACGGGUGAAAGCAGUGGAUCUUCGGACCUUGCGCGAUUGAAUUAGCCGAUGUCGGAUUAGCUAGUUGGCGGGGUAAAGGCCCACCAAGGCGACGAUCCGUAGCUGGUCUGAGAGGAUGAUCAGCCACACUGGAACUGAGACACGGUCCAGACUCCUACGGGAGGCAGCAGUGGGGAAUAUUGGACAAUGGGCGCAAGCCUGAUCCAGCCAUACCGCGUGGGUGAAGAAGGCCUUCGGGUUGUAAAGCCCUUUUGUUGGGAAAGAAAAGCAGCAGGUUAAUACCCCGCUGUUCUGACGGUACCCAAAGAAUAAGCACCGGCUAACUUCGUG